AGAAGGUAUGACUGUAGCCUUGUGACUAGCCUACAGUAUUUUAGGCCUACUUCAAAAUGUUUUUUUCUGUGUUUUCGAUCAACUGAUAACUAUAAAAACAGAUAUAGUAGACCGAAAGCUUAAAAAGACAGGUGGUGGUCCACGAGAAAAAAAAAUUAUCAAAAGCUUCAGAAGAAAUUGCCUUAACAGCAUCACUGAUGAGGGCCGAGUUAGCAGUGGCUGGUGAUUUUUACGAGACCUUCCGCAGUCACCCAGUAGAUGAAGAAAUAAUUCCCUAUAGAAUGUGCAGAUAGUUUUGCCUGUUCCAACCCCAGGGCCAUCAACUGUGCUCACCAGUCAUUGUUCCUGCCUCGACAGUGAAUGCUCCUACCUCACCAGUGAAUGCUCCUGCCUCGCCAGUCAUUGUUGCUUCACCAGUCAUUGUUCCUGCCUCACCAGUCCUUGCUCCUGCCUCACCAACACUGGAGCAGGUUCAGAAAUAUAAAAACAGAUAUAAAAGACCAAAAACUUGAGGGCCGAGUUAGCAGUGGCUGAUGAUUUUUACGAGACUUUCCGCAAUCACCCAGUAGAUGAAGAAAUAAUUCCUUGUGGAAUGUGCAGUUUUCCCUGUUCCAACCCUAGGGCCAUCAACUAUGCCUCACCAGUCAUUGUUCCUGCCUCACCAGUGAAUGCUCCUGCCUCACCAGUCAUUGU